UGCAGUUUGAGUGGUGAAGGUGCUCCGACAAUGUGGUUGGAUUCUAACAUCUGCCGAGCUGGGAUUCGAACAAGGACUUCAGUUGUACAUUUUAAUAUUCUGGAUAAAAGUUAAAUAUAUUAGGAUACUACAGGUGG